rnacentral:snRNA from 1 species
UGUUCACCCACCAAUAGGGA